AUACUGUGGGGGAGUUUCCAUGUGGCCCCAGGUGUGCUGAGGUGGAAGAAUGAAAGCUGCCCUUGAGAGCUCAAGAGAGAGAGGAAGGGAAACAGCUGUGAGCAUCUCUGGGCGGAAGAGACGUGUUCUCAGACAACCUCUGGAGGUAUCCAGCACAUGGGGAAUCUCUCCAGUGACCCCAUAGCACAUCCCUGGAGCUUCAGCUCAAGAGUGGGCCUUCAAGGGCUCCUCGACUCAUCACUCUCCGCUAUGGAAAAGCCAGGUCGUCCCAGGAGCCCCUUCAGCCACGCCACGCUCUCAGUGUUGCUCAGCCGACCCAGGAUUAAUAUUUGGGGAGAUGAAGAAACAUAUUUCCAAAUCCCAGAGGGGAUCACUUGGGCCAAGCUCUACUCCUUCAAGAUGUACGAGUUGCCGCACUGAUGUCUCCACCUAGAACUUGUAAAGAUACUCAUGAAUUUCCACAAGCUGCACACCCACUCCUCCCAGGCUAAGUGCUGGAUAAGGGGAUCUCCAGCCCAAGAGGCCUCUCCUGCAGGGCCUCUGGGGUCCUUGGUGACCAGUGCACUCAGUCUCUUAGGAAGCCAGCCCCAGCCAGCGAGGUGCAUGGAGUCCACAGAAAAGGGCCCGGCCUUCUCCAAGAUGUUUGUUGGUAAGAUACCUCUCAUGCCUGCUCCUCGACUUGUUGCUACCAUCCAGCCUCGGAGGCCACUUUGUUCUCUUCUUCCCAUUUUUUUCUCUAAUUGUGCUCUUGUCUCCUCUCCACACACACAUACGUCCACCAUACUGUCC
rnacentral:lncRNA from 1 species